rnacentral:rRNA from 1 species
UUCCUACGGGGGGCAGCAGUGGGGAAUAUUGCACAAUGGGCGAAAGCCUGAUGCAGCAACGCCGCGUGAAGGAAGAAGGCCUUCGGGUCGUAAACUUCUGUCCUUGGGGAAGAAGAACUGACGGUACCCAAGGAGGAAGCCCCGGCUAACUACGUGCCAGCAGCCGCGGUAAUACGUAGGGGGCAAGCGUUAUCCGGAAUUACUGGGUGUAAAGGGUGAGUAGGCGGCAUGGUAAGCCAGAUGUGAAAGCCUUGGGCUUAACCCGAGCAUUGCAUUUGGAACUAUCAAGCUAGAGUACAGGAGAG